rnacentral:rRNA from 1 species
CCUACGGGAGGCAGCAGUGGGGGAUAUUGCACAAUGGGGGAAACCCUGAUGCAGCGACGCCGCGUGGGUGAAGAAGCGCCUCGGCGCGUAAAGCCCUGUCAGCAGGGAAGAAAAUGACGGUACCUGAAGAAGAAGCCCCGGCUAACUACGUGCCAGCAGCCGCGGUAAUACGUAGGGGGCAAGCGUUAUCCGGAUUUACUGGGUGUAAAGGGGGCGCAGACGGCGUUGCAAGCCAGGAGUGAAAGGCCGGGGCCCAACCCCGGGACUGCACUUGAAACUGCGUGGCUAGAGUGCAGUAGGGGCAGGCGGAAUUCCUGGUGUAGCGGUGAAAUGCGUAGAUAUCAGGAGGAACACCGGUGGCGAAGGCGGCCUGCUGGACUGCAACUGACGUUGAGGCCCGAAAGCGUGGGGAGCAAACAGGAUUAGAUACCCGGGUAGUC